rnacentral:lncRNA from 1 species
UCAUCUCUUCGCUUUCCCAAUUUUAGCCUUCUUUAGUCCCACUCACUCCGCCCUUCUCUCUGAACCCCUUACUCCAAGGCCUUUUUCUUCCCAUCCUUUUCUAGUCCUCUACUCCUUCCUCCCCUCCCCCUACUUUCCUCCCCUCCCCCAUCCUCAUUUCCCCUCGCCUACCUCCCCUUCCCCCACUCCUCCUUUUAAAGCAGUCCGAGAUGAGCGCAAGCCCAGAGUUGGGCCUAGAAGAAAAAAACAAAAAGACUUUGAAGAACAGUCGGCCUGAAGGCUUCGGGAAGGGGACAAAGAGGAUGGGCCUGGGUAGUUAUUUGUAUUAAAAGUGGGAUGUGGCGCUACAUUCUGCUUAACGUUUGGGGGACGUCCGCAGCUUCCGCAGGGGCAGAAGUCUCCAUGGUCCUUUCCUUCGGUCGGAUUCAAUGUACCUUGGAAAUUUGCUGUCUCCUUGGAAACUCCUAAGAGUGCACUGAAGCACCUUCUUGAACAGGAGGCGUGUUCGUGUCAUGAUGAAGCCAUUACGUGUUUAUUGAAGAUCCCACAUCACAUUAAUGAGAGCUUUCUGCUUCUGGCAUGCCAGUCUCCUUUAUGCUCCCAUGAUCUCGUUCUAGCAAAACUCCAAUUCUCCAAAUCCUUUCCAUUUUUUUCAGGUAUGAGUUCUUCCUCUCUGAUUGAAGCUCAGUGUUUAUGGUCUAGUUAGGUGCUACCACCUGCUGGACAUUUAAAUAACAUCUCAACACUGACUACAUUCAAAAAUUCUAAGUGGCAGAUACCAAGACUUACACAUAAUUGUGUGUCUCACAGUGUUUUUCAGAUGACGAGUGUCCAGUGAAUAUCUGUUGCAUGAAUGAGUAAAUGAAUUUCUACCUCUUUUCCUAAAACUUUCUUUCAACAAACACUAGCCUCUUCAAUAUCAGGCAUUGUACUGGACACUGGGGAAUUUUACAAAAGACCCAAUUUCAGCUUGGAUGAACACAGUCUAAUGGAGAAUUCAGGCAAGCAGAGACAUAUUUGCCGUGUGGGAAGUAUGGAGCUGCUAUCUCUACUAUGUUAGAGAUAAAGAGAGUGUGUCAUGGGAGCAUGGAGGAUGAGCAACUAAACCAAUUGGUGAUAAGGGUGGAAGAACUUCAGGGAGAGCUUUCUGGAGGAGGUGACACCUGAGGUAAGUUUUGAAGUAUAAGUAAGAGGUGACCAGGUGGAGAAAGGCAAAAAGCAACCAAAAGCAUCAAUGUGAGGGCAAGCAGGAGGUGCUCAAAGAGAUGCCAGUGACUACAAUAAGGGGAACCAUGUAGCUCUGGGCUGAAGAGAACUGUCUGUUGCCAAGGAUAGAGAGAUGGGAUCAUGCAGCAUGGGCUGGAGAGAGAAGGAUACACAGUCCAGGCUGAAGAGAGGGGAACAUGUAGCCUGGGAUAGAAAGAUGACCGACAGCCAAGGUUGAUGAGAUAGGAGACAUGUAGCCCAGGCUGAAUGUAGAUGUAGUGAAGAGACCAUG